rnacentral:rRNA from 1 species
AUGAGAAGAGAUGGGCAUGAAGGUGAUGGGAGAACGCAAGGACAAGACGAACCUAGUAUGUUUGGGCCAGAUGAUGACGAUGGUGCAAAGAUUCCUACUCAGGUGGAAACUCUUGUUAGAGGCACUGCAAUAGUUGAUGCUCCAGAAUACAAGCCGCUCCCAGAUCUCGAUUACCUUCAGGAAUUGCUGGCUAUUCAGCAGCAAGGACCCCGAUCAAUAGGUUUCUUUGGUACCCGCAACAUGGGGUAUAUGCAUCAACAACUUAUUGAGAUCUUGAGUUAUGCCAUGGUCAUAACAAAAAAUCAUAUAUUCACAUCUGGUGCUUCUGGGACUAACGCAGCUGUUAUUAGGGGUGCUUUGAGAGCUGAGAAGCCAGAAUUGCUUACCGUAAUUUUGCCUCAAAGUCUAAAGAAGCAACCUCCUGAAAGCCAAGAGCUAUUAUCCAAAGUACAAAACUUGAUUGAGAAACCUCAGUAUGACCAUUUACCACUAAUUGAGGCUAGCAGGUUAUGCAACAUGGACAUCAUCUCGAAGGUCCAACAGGUGAUAUGCUUUGCGUUUCAUGACAGCAGGCUGCUGAUGGAGACCUGCCAGGAGGCAAAGAACAUGCGGAAGAUCGUAACGCUCUUCUACUUGGAUUAG